rnacentral:rRNA from 1 species
CUUGACUGUAUCCUGGAAUUGGGUUCGGGCUUUUCUUGCGCAGUCUAGGUGGGAGGCUAUGAAGAUUUCCUUCCGGGGAAGUUGGAGCCAUCAGUGAGAGACCACUCCGGAGGGCUAGAAUCCUAAUGGUGAUCCUUGAAUCAGGACACCUGACAGUUUCAGGUGGGCAGUUUUUCUGGGGCGGAAGCCUCAUAAAGGGUAACUGAGGCGCGCAAAGGUCCCCUCAGUCUGGACGGAAAUCAGACAACGAGUGUAAAGGCAAAAGGGGGCUUGACUGCAAGACCUACAAGUCGAGCAGGAGCGAAAGCUGGCCUUAGUGAUCCGACGGUACCGCGUGGAAGGGCCGUCGCUCAACGAAUAAAAGUUA